rnacentral:misc_RNA from 1 species
UACGGGGGGUGCAAACGUUGUUCGGAAUCAUUGGGCGUAAAGCGCGCGCAGGCGGCCAUGUAAGUUGGGUGUGAAAGCCCUCGGCUCAACCGAGGAAUUGCGCUCAAAACUACAUGGCUUGAGUACUGGAGAGGAAAGUGGAAUUCCCGGUGUAGAGGUGAAAUUCGUAGAUAUCGGGAGGAACACCAGUGGCGAAGGCGACUUUCUGGCCAGAUACUGACGCUGAGGCGCGAAAGCGUGGGGAGCAAACAGG